rnacentral:ribozyme from 1 species
UGCCCAGCAACUCCUAUCCCUACCUCCUCGCGGUACUGGCCGGGGUAUGAGUAACCUAUGGGAAGAUCGGGUAAUUAACCCCGGUGGGAACUUUGGUCGUAUACUGGCAGGGAAGG